rnacentral:piRNA from 1 species
UGUGGAUGUGGUGGAUGAUCCCACA